GACGAACGCUGGCGGCGUGCUUAACACAUGCAAGUCGAACGGAAAGGCCCUGCUUUUGUGGGGUGCUCGAGUGGCGAACGGGUGAGUAACACGUGAGUAACCUGCCCUUGACUUUGGGAUAACUUCAGGAAACUGGGGCUAAUACCGGAUAGGAGCUCCUGCUGCAUGGUGGGGGUUGGAAAGUUUCGGCGGUUGGGGAUGGACUCGCGGCUUAUCAGCUUGUUGGUGGGGUAGUGGCUUACCAAGGCUUUGACGGGUAGCCGGCCUGAGAGGGUGGCCGGCCACCUUGGGACUGAGAUACGGCCCAGACUCCUACGGGCGGCAGCGGUGGGGAAUAUUGCACAAUGGGCGGAAGCCUGAUGCAGCAACGCCGCGUGCGGGAUGACGGCCUUCGGGUUGUAAACCGCUUUCGCCUGUGACGAAGCGUGAGUGACGGUAAUGGGUAAAGAAGCACCGGCUAACUACGUG
rnacentral:rRNA from 1 species